rnacentral:rRNA from 1 species
GACGAACGCUGGCGGCGUGCUUAACACAUGCAAGUCGAACGAAGUGGCGAACGGGUGAGUAACGCGUAAUCAACCUGCCCUUCAGAGGGGGACAACAGUUGGAAACGACUGCUAAUACCGCAUACUGUAGGCAGGGAUUGCGUCUGAUUAGCUAGUUGGAGGGGUAACGGCCCACCAAGGCGAUGAUCAGUAGCCGGUCGGAGAGGAUGAUCGGCCACAGUGGGACUGAUACACGGCCCAGACUCCUACGGGAGGCAGCAGUGGGGAAUCUUACGCAAUGGACGGAAGUCUGACGGAGCAACGCCGCGUGAGUGAUGACGGCCUUCGGGUUGUAAAGCUCUGUUAAUCGGGACGCGGUACCGGAAUAGAAAGCCACGGCUAACGACGUGCAAGCCGCCGCGGAAUUC